AUUGAACGCUGGCGGCAGGCCUAACACAUGCAAGUCGAACGAGUGGCGGACGGGUGAGUAAUGUCUGGGAAACUGCCCGAUGGGGGGGGAUAACUACUGGAACCGGUAGCUAAUACCGCAUACCAUCAGAUGUGCCCAGAUGGGAUUAGCUAGUAGGUGGGGUAACGGCUCACCUAGGCGACGAUCCCUAGCUGGGCUGAGAGGAUGACCGGCCACACUGGAACUGAAACACGGUCCAGACUCCUACGGGAGGCAGCAGUGGGGAAUAUUGGACAAGGGGCGCAAGCUGGAUGCAGCAAUGCCGCGUGUAUGAAGAAGGCCUUCGGGUUGUAAAGUAUUUUCAGCGAGGAGGCGUUACUCGCAGAAGAAGCACCGGCUAACUCCGUGCCAGCAGCCGCGGUAAUUC
rnacentral:rRNA from 1 species